CAGAGAGGGUUUAGAGUUUAGGAUCAGUCUGAGCUCCACAACCUACUUGCUGGUUGCCAUGGUCAUGACACUGACCCUAAUUGAGGCUGAGUUUUAUCAGUCUUACAAUGGGAAUGAUGCUACUUUAGCCUAGUGAUGUCACAGUACUUGAUCUGUACCUGGGAGCUCUUGGCUAAGAGCAAGACUUGCUACUUCAGUCCUCACUUUCUUUCUGGUUCAAACACUCACUGCCAAUCAGAAGCUAAGUAGUGCCAAGUUGGUAAUGCUCAUGAGUGAAGACGGCCAGAGAGGCAUGCAGAACAUCUGGGAAAAGUGAGGACUAUGACAAACUAGAAUGCAUGAGCCCCAUAGGGAUACAAGAUAGCACCAAUCACCUGGCUUGUACCAAUUUCAGAUUUUAUAAAAGGACUUCCCACCAGGUAGCAUCCUGUGAUUUGAAAUACAUAUUUAUUAGCGAUCUGUGUCCUCCAUGGCAAAGGAUGCAGCCAGUGUGAGAUAAACAACAGAGGUUUAUCUGCACACAAUUCUGGAAGCUGUGCAACCAGGCUCACGGUUCCGGGGAGAGACCUAUGGCUUGCUGGCUCACAGAUGGCCAUCUUUUUGAAAAGAGAAGCUGAAGUGUUGAUUCCAACCCAUCUCUGUGGCAUACAGUUUUUCCCCCUGAUGAAAAGAGAGGCUUCCAGCUUUCUCUCCUCCCUCAACUACCACCACCACAGGGGCAAAGAGGGAGGGGAAAACUAGAAUUGUUUAGGCCUUACCACAUUCUCCUCGUACUUAUUAGUUACAUGUACAUGCAACGCUUGCCUUUGGG